rnacentral:rRNA from 1 species
CCUGGGCCGCACGCGCGCCACAUUGAAGGAAUCAGCGUGUGCUUCCCCUGCCCGACAGGGCUGGGUAACCCGUUGAACCUCCUUCGUGCUGGGGAUAGGGGCUUGUAAUUGUUCCCCUUGAACGAGGAAUGCCCAGUAAGCACGAGUCAUAAUCUUGUGUUGAUUACGUCCCUGCUCUUUGUGCACACCGCCCGUCGCUACUACUAAUUGAAUGAUUUGGUGAGGUCUUCGGACUGGCGCUCGGAUUGGCCUUCGGGUCGAGCCGGCGUGCCGGAAAGAUGACCAAACCCGAUCAUUUAGAGGAAGUAAAAGUCGUAACAAGGUUACC